rnacentral:rRNA from 1 species
AACACAUGCAAGUCGCACGAGAAAGGGCUUCGGCCUGAGUAAAGUGGCGCACGGGUGAGUAACACGUGACUAACCUACCCUCGAGUGGGGAAUAACCUAGAGAAAUCUGGGCUAAUACCGCAUAACACUUACGAGUCAAAGCAGCAAUGCGCUUGAGGAGGGGGUCGCGGCAGAUUAGCUAGUUGGUGAGGUAAUGGCUCACCAAGGCGAUGAUCUGUAUCCGGCCUGAGAGGGCGCACGGACACACUGGAACUGAAACACGGUCCAGACUCCUACGGGAGGCAGCAGUGGGGAAUUUUGCGCAAUGGGGGAAACCCUGACGCAGCAACGCCGCGUGGAGGAUGAAAUCCCUUGGGAUGUAAACUCCUUUCGACUGGGAAGAUAAUGACGGUACCAGGAGAAGAAGCCCCGGCUAACUUCGUGCCAGCAGCCGCGGUAAUACGAGGGGGGCGAGCGUUGUUCGGAAUUAUUGGGCGUAAAGGGUGCGUAGGCGGUUUGACAAGUCUUAUGUGAAAUCUCUGGGCUCAACCCAGAGUCUGCAUGGGAAACUGUCGGGCUUGANUGUGGGA